GCCAGUGAUGGCGAGCGGAAGAUGAAACUUUGCUCACUUGCUGCUCACUUCUUCCCGUGCGGCCCGGUUCCUGACAGGCCGCAGACCGUUACUGGUCCGUGGCCCCGGGGGUCGGGGACCCCUGCUGUACAGCAUAUUUGGGGGAUCGGUCAUCCCUCUUUCGCACUUAUCAGGGUCACCCUACCUCAGAACAAGCACAAACUGUUCACACAAGGAGGAGUUGGAGGGCUGGGAAUCUUCUCCCCACUCUUCCUGAAUCUCCUUUCCUCAUUAUAAAGCGUUCGAAUCUACCAGCAACAGACCUCCUGGAUUUGAAAUUUUCAACUUAUCUUUCUCGUCAGCCCUUACAUUAGCUGGCUUGCUUUUUAAAUCAACACUCCUGCCUUCUGAGGUUAUACUUUGGGGAAAUGUUGCCCAGGGAUAGGGGGAUGGAAAGCCAAGGAUUUGAUUUGCCAAAGAUAGUGUCUGGCUCUUGUGAGAUGCGCAAGGGCUGAUUUACAGCCUUUUUACUUUGGUCUUUGGGGUGGUGGGAGGUGGGAAACUUGGGUGAUUUCUUGAUUGGCAAUGAGGAUAAAAUGUUAAUGCUUUUUUCAGAGCUUAACUGCUUUAUCCUAUUCUGCAAAUCAAUAAGGGAUCUCUUUAUGCUCACUUCAGAGCCGUGUUCAACUAUUGGAAGGAGGCAAUUUGCCUAUCCAAGCCAAACUAAAAGCAUUAAUUCAUUGGUCAAAUAUUUGUUACCUGGAAUGGAACUUGAAAAAACACAUUUUGAUUUUAAUUUUCUGUGUUAUGAUUUUCUCACUCUCUUUUUAAGAAAAAUCACCCGAAUAACAUUUUAAAAAGGUGAACCAGCUGCUGGGCAAAGGUCACUGUGGGAUAGCUUGCAUGCAGAUACCAAUGUGACAAUCAUGACUUUGAUUCAUGACCACAAAUGAAUGAAUUCAUCCAUUUGGUUAAUUUUAUUCAACAGAUAUUUAUUAAGUGCCUUCCCUGUGGUGUGUAAGUAAUGAGGGUGCAAUGAACAUAACAUUUCUUUGCCCUCAGAAAGUGUUAUAUCUCAUGUUUCUUUCUUUUUUGGUUGUUGUUACAAGUUUGGAUUUCUGGUGAGUGCUAAAAAAUUUGACUUCUGGGCAAAUGUUGAAUCCAGAGAUGUAUUCCAUACCCUAUCUGCCAGUGGGCAGUAGGUUCAGACUGGAAUAAGAGAAUUAGGGCAAAUAAAAGGACAUAGAUGGGGCUGGUUUUAGGAACCUCUGAGGAAAAAUGGAUUGCAUAAUCCUUGUAUGAGCCCUUAGCCAAUCUCACAGAUGGAAAUCUGAACCUGGGGACCAGAGAAGCAGCCAGGUUCCGGGGAGUCCUUCCUGAAGGCAUCCUGUGCAUGGGUAUUCCCCUCCAUGGGGCUGUACAUUCCUGGAGUGACUUUUGCCCCAUGACAUCUUAAAACUUCUAACAACUCUGGGGAAUGAGAUCAGAUAUAGUUUUGGGUGUUCCUCACCCUGUUAUUUUCUGUAGCUUUGCAAAACAAGUACCGGGUGACUAAAACUUCCCUACCAACCAUUUAAUCAAAAAUUGAAAAAAAAAAAAUUUUGUUGUUACUGUUUUAGUUGAGAUGGAUCACUCAGUUUCUAGAAGUCAUGACACAGAUGCUCCUGCCAUGGCUUGUUACCCUUCUCCAUCAGUCACCGGCAUCUAGCACGAAGUGUGGCACAUGAUAAGCUUUCAACAUUAUUUGUUGAAAGAAAUAAUAAAACCCUCACAUGAUAAUGGAUUUCAUUCACUAGUUAAUAAAUCAGAUUUGCAUUUUUAAUCUAGAAGGGAAUGAUUACCAAUUCCUUAAGACCCAACACAAUUCUUUUGAUCUCUCUCUGUUUUAAUUUUCCAGGAAAUAGCUUUUAACAACCUACACCUUGUCUGUUGAAUUCUCAACCAGUUCUUGCCCUUAUCGUUGUGGCGAUAAUACCAAAGUACUGUCCUUCUUACUGGUGACUAUUGAAAUGAGAUGAUAACUUCCCAGAAACUGCCUAGAAAUAAUCAUCACUUUAUUACCCUUUGAAAAGAAGAUUGAUAGAAAAGUCAUUUGAAAGAUGGUUCAUUACCAUGCCCUAGUACGAUUUCUUUACUCACAUCUCUCCAAAGCAUGAGAAAGGGAGGAUUAUUCUCUGAGGUCGGAAUUUGAAGGCUGUGUGUUUGCCUCUUUGAAGUCUUGGUAUUUAAUUUUCUGUAGUCAUUUCUUGGGCAAUUUUCUAAGAAACUAGUUGAAGCUAAUUUAUCAUAAGUUAAAGUCAAAUGACAGAAAAGAUUUUUUUCUCCCUUAGCAGCAUUUUAUUCCACAGAGGUUAGCUUCUGAAGGAAAAUGAGACUUAAAUAGCAUUUCAGAUCUCCAGCCACAUGGAUGGGUACACAGAAUAGAAAGGGUUCUGGAAACCACACUGAUUUUUUUUAUUUAGCAUAGUUAUUAUUUUGUGAUUUUUCUUCCUGGACCUUGAUAUACAGAUAAUGAAAUGCUCUCCUAAAAAUAAUUAGUUAAGUUGCUUAAUUUUUCAAAAAGAAACUUUCAGUCCUCAAGAGAUAACAACCCUUGGUCUCUAUCAUUGGCCGAUUUGGUUUAACUUUAUAUAAUUCUUUUAACCUUUGUCUUAAACCCUAACUCUGCAAUGAGAUGAGGUAACUUGCCUUACCUUUUCAAACAAAGGCAAACGAUAAUGAGAGAGCAUUUAUAAGGUCCUUUGAGAAUCUUAUUUGAAAGGCUUCUCGUGAGCAUGGGAUCCAGUUCAAUAAGUAAUAAGGGGUUUUCAUUUUUCAUAUUAUGUGACCAUUAUUUCAUGUUUACAGAGGAUGCCCAGUGAACUUGUUUCAGUAUAAACACAAAAGUGGUUUCUGCUGUUUCUCUCUUUCCAAGGGGAAAAAUCUCAUUGCCCCCUUUUUGUUUUGAAACUUAAUUAAAGUAGUUCAAAAUCAGGAUGUUCACCAUUUUACAGUGUCUCCUACUUAUUUUGUUUAUUGAUGGAUUUAGGUUUACACAGCUAACAUCUUUUGCCACCUUCUGCCCAAAGAAAGCCUUCCAGGAUAGGUAAAGUCCAAAUCUGACACCAUCAUUGGUGAUAUUUUUAGGAAUGAAAAAAGAGCAGGUUUAGAAUCUUGAUAUUUGCAAAGGUUGAUGUUUUACAAAAAAUUUAAUUAAUGCUGAUUUAGAUUUUGUCAGUGUAGUGCUGUUUAAUAAUAAGAAAAUUCUGCCUAUGGCUUGCCAGUGUCUUUUAGUAACUAACUUCCUUUAGAAUUGUCGUCUUCCCCUAGUGGUUUUCGUUUGUUUGUUUUCAUUUUGAACCUUUAGAAAUUCCACCUGCUAUAUUAGUCAGAAAGUCCUUACAAUUGUUAUGGUAGAAACCCUUUGGCUAAUGACUGUCCAAAUGUGGACAUAAUAAUUACCUUUCACUGGAGGGAUUUGGGGGAAUCAUCAUUGGUGUCAUGUGAUUGCACUUUGGCUUCUAAUGAAUCUUUUUCUGUUUAUCAUAUUGGUCACCAGCAAGAAGUCACAGAACCUCAGGAUGCUUUGGUAACCAAAAGAAAUCCUUGGUGUGUCUUAUGGGCUGAAUCGUGUUGAAAUUCUAACCCCCACUACCUCGGAAUAUGAUUGUAUUUGGAAAUAAGGUAUUUACAGAGGUAAUUAAGUUUUAAUCAGGUCAUUAGGGUGGGCCCCGAUUCAAUAUUACUGAUAUCCUUAUAAGAAGAGGAGAUUAGGACACAGACACACUGAAAGUGAUGAUCAUGUGAAGACCGAGAGAAUGCAGCCACCUCCAAGCCAAGGAGAGAGGCCUCGCAAGAAACCAGACACACUGACAUCUUGGACUCCCAGCUUCCAGAACUGGAGGAAAGAAAUUUCUCUUGUUUAAGUCACCCAGUCUAUGCUGCUUUGUUAUGGCAGUCCCAGAAAACUGUUACAGUGUGUUGCCAUGGAAUUCCCUACUUGCCCCUGGAAUUUUGUAGAAAGGGACUUGGGGAGCAGAGAUGCUGGCAACAACAAUGGAGAGAAGGAGGAGGAAUGACCGUUGGUUGCAUGUAUCUGCUGUGGGAGAGGACAGAGAAUAUCACGGAUGGUGGCAGGACUGGUGAAUUAUUUUAUUGAGAGAGUAGAGAGUGAUGUGUUCUGGAGAUCACCUGAGUGUUACAGAGGAAAACAAACAUGGGCCGGGCUUCAUGACAUGGGGUGUUUGCCUACUGCUAAAGGGCUUCUGGGGAUUGGAAGAGAGGCAUGGUGAUGAUGUACAGUGCAGUCCUUAGUUUUGUACAACUUCUGUAUAUAUCCUAUUUAAGAAAUACUCAUUGAGCUUUACCAUGUGUUAUGUCCUGACCCUAAGGUUAGACCUAUGAGAUAAGAUCCAUUUCUGUCUUCAAGGCUCUCCAAAACAAAUAAGGAGUCUACAGUAUACUGAUUUGUCAUUGCCCAGCAAUGAUAAUGAUUAUAAUGAUAACUUUUAAAUAUUAUUAUUAUUAUAGGCAAUGUGUGUUGAGCACUCAUUAUGUUCUAGGCAUUGUGCUAAAUGCCCAUUACAAAGAUUUGAAAAGGCUGCUUAUACGUUAGGCAACUUAAUUAAAUCAGCUACCCAGGGAGGAGCCAGGAUUUAAAGAUCCAUCAAAUCAAUGACAUAGAUGGCUAGGCAAUACUAACCAGCACACUUAGAAUUACUAGAGCGUGAAUCCCUAUGAUGGUUUGAAACACAGAUUUGGAAGUCAGACCUAACUUAGGCCACUGGAUGAGAAAAUCCAAACUGGCAUUUGUGGAAUGUUACCUUGUGUCCUCUCUGUACAUGUCACUGUCAAGGAAAUCUUUGCUGCACAGUAAAUAGCCAUUCAUAGAGUGUGAGUCCAUGGUAGAGGCACUUCCUCUUGUCAUCAUCAGAAGGUAAGUGCAAGAUGAUGAGUGGGUUCUUUUGGGUCUGGCAUUGUGUCUACCAAUGAAUUUUUCUGUUUCCACUUGCAUUUCUGUCCUCCUUUUAUGUCUUCCUAAAAAAUUAGAUAUUUGUUGGUCAAUACAGCAGCUAACUAUUUGAUAGCAUCUAGUGACAUUCCAGUUUAUCAAUUUAUAGUGAGAAAUAGAAUCUAUGCAAACGACAAAACCUUUAUCAGUCUGACCAUCACACUGUGUCCCUGGAGGCCUUGGAAGCUGGAUUAUAAUCAAAGGGUUGCAUGAAGUGCGUGGAAUCAGAACAGAGUUAGAUAAAUCACAUAUUUAAUGGUGUCAGGCUAAGACAUCCUGUUUCAUCCCAUCUUCUCCAGAGGUAUGGGCCUUCCAGUGGGAGUGGAAUACCCAAAGUGUGCAAUAUUCCAGACUGAUUCCAAAGAACUGAAAGUGACCAGCCUUGAGAAAUACGGAUGAUAAUGAGAACUAUUUUUCUCACGUCUUCCCUCCCUCCCUCUCUUCCUUGCUUCCUUCCAUGCUUCCUUGCUUCCUUUCUUCUCUCUUCAUUUUCCUUUCUCUGACUUCCUAUUUCUGUUACAUCUUUUUAUACUACACUAGCUGCAAAUAUGAACCAAGAAACAUCAUUAAUUUUACCUAAGUGAGGUACCUAUUUUUCCAGAAAUGUAGAAUUAGAAAAAAAAAAGAGAGAGAGAGAACUAAAAGGAUAGAUGAAAAUAAUGAGAUUUAAAGAGAUUGUGUUUCACUCAAAGUUAAUAUAACGAUAUUGUCUGAGGAGAGACUAGAACUCAGGCCUUCUAAGUAAUCACCAUUUUUCUUAAUAAUGACUGAAUUUGAGUUAAGGCAAAUAAUGUUCUCUUGUUGUAUUAAACUUCUCCUCUGUUUUCUUAAAAAAUAUUCGGAUGUUUCUGUGUGUGAAUAAGUUUUUAACUAGGAAAUCUUUAUAAGGCUGUCAUAUGGGUCAAAUAAGAUUUACUUGUCUAUGCUUUUCAAAGAGGAUAAUUCAUUAGAUAUCUGAUUUUAGAAUUCUAGUUGCAAAAUGAUAUUGCAAAUUAAUGACUAAUGAUUUUAAUAUUUCGCUUUGCUUAUUUGUAUGUGUGUAUAUAAUAUGUGUGUUUGUAUAAGCAGAAAGUAGCUAUUUGAAUACCAGGCUUGGGCGACUGUUGAGAUUUCAGUGAAAAGACUCUGUAAGACUUGGAUUUCAAUGAGUCUUUCAGAUAUUUCAUUUUAUUUAGGAUGAUUUGUGAUUAUUUCCUGUUGUCAUAAAAGGCCACUUAGGCCUGUGGCAUGCCUUGAAUUGUCCCAGAAGGGGCUUCAUGGAAUAGUAGAAAGUUCUCUAAACCCUGAAACCAGGUGGACUUAGGUUUGAACUGAAGCUCUGCCACUGAAUAAUUUGUUACCUUGGGCAACUUGAUUAACCUCUCUCAACCCAGCUUAUCAUAUGAAUAUGGUACGAUGAUCCGUUAAUAUACCGACUUAUCUUUCUUCUUGCUAUUCUCCAUCCCAAGAAAGUAGGUGGAUGCCCUUGCCUCAGGACCGUAAUGGCUUACUGCAUAAGUUGCAGGUCCCAAUAUGACAGCCUCUCACCAAGACAUCUGGAAAAUUGAUGGGGGCUAGAACUUGGAGCUCGUGAGGCAGAGGAAGCCUACCCUGAGAAGAGAAGAGAGACUCACUCCUGGAGUCAGGGAAGAUGAUGGUGUUUUGUGUAAGAGGCGUAGGGCUUGUGAAGGGCCAGUUCAUGGAUAUCAGGACUGACUAAGAGCUAUGGCCUGAGAAGUCACAGGGAACAAUACAUGUCCAUGCUAGUCAUGGAUCAAAUGGAGCCACCUGCCUGUGAAUGGAUCCCGUGGGCCUGUGGGCCUGAUGGCCAAGAGAGCGGACCUCUCUCUAGAUUUAGGAAAAUAAGGUCAUGGAACACUUUUGACUAACACUCCAUAUCUUCUUGCACCAGGCAUCUUCACAGUAUCAUCAGAGGGUGGUUUUAUGAGAAAAUCCACAGUUUUAUAGCUGGUACAUUUGAUGUUGGAAGAAUGGAACAUGCAGAGGUGAAAACUAAGGAUUGUGUUCAUGUGGGCUUCCAGGCCAUCAAGAUGCCCUCCAACCUGAAGCAGGAAGUGAACAAUGGCUUGAUCAAAGUGGAAGAAACUUCAGAAGCACUGAUAAAGACAGGACACAUUAAUGUAUAUACCAUGUGAGGAAACCUGAGCAGGGCUCCGGGAGUGCCAAGUUUUACAUGGGCAGUGGUUACACGGGGUGAAACUGGUCGGUGGCAUAAACAGUCUUUGCACACUGCACAGAAGGCAGAUCUACCCCACCUACUGGGGAUGUAACCUGAACCGCUGGACUUGAAUACAACAGUUGGACCACCACCAGGAUACCAGGUGGUAGAAAAUGGUAUAAGCAUGAGGGUUGCUCUCUUGGGAAGUAAUAAUCACCAUGUCACAGUGUGUUUGUUAGACUUUAUGCAGUGGAAAUAUUUCAUUUGAACCUACACACCUCUAUAGCAGUAAGAAAUUAUGAUCUUCAUCUUAGAGAUGAUGAAACCACGGUUUUCUGACAAGAAGAUGAUCCCCUUAAGCAGAAUAGCAACAACUUUUGUCUAACUCUGGGUUUUAUUAAGUUCUUAAUUUUAGGGUGGUAAAUAUGGGGACCAAAGUCUUUGGGAUAUCCCAAAUGCAGGAAACAUCCUCCCUGCCCACAUUUAACUAACCAGAUGUAUUUAUGCGUAUAUGCUAUGGAGCCAUUACAGAGACAGAUGCGUAUAUCCACAUUACUGUCUUUUCUGCCCAGUGUAUCUGAAGUUCUGCUUGUAUGUAGAAGUUUUGCUCUUACCUGGGAGAAAACUGAGGUGUGAAGAGCAGGAGAUUUGUCCUUGCCCACAUGAUAAGUGAAAAGUUGCACCAAAAAGAACUAUCACUCUACAGUGUAGAAAUGUUCUUCCUAGUGAUGUGUUAAUUUUAACAAAAUGUUACCAUAAUGAAGCAGCAUAUUUAACUCAUGGAGGUUUUUUAUAGCAGUACUCUGUAUGUGCAAAGUAAAAUCUGAUAGUAUCUCUAACAGAGUCUUCCCCCCUUUUUUAAAAUAAAGAACUUCAAGAGCAGAGUGGGAGGGUUUUAAUGAUAAAAAUAUAAAGAGUAGGAUUCCUAUCAUCUUUAACUAAGGGUAGGCUCCAUUUCCUAGUUGUUUAACCUCUAAAAAAAUUCCAAUUCUUAAGAAAUUUAAGAUACUUUAGAAUCUAAAAUAACACUGAAUAUCAUUAGAAAAUUCCUUUAUCCUCUUCUGAUCAUUUUACUUUGGUAAACAACUUUUCUCAGUAUUCUUCUUAAAGAUCACUAUUUUUAAUUAAGUUGAAUCACAAAAUGGAUAGCAUGGUACAUGCAUUUUGCCCCUGAGAUACUUCAUUUUGAAAGAAUCCUAGAGUAGAGUUGAAGAGAUUAGAGUUGAAGGGAAAUUUACAAGACAUCAGUCUAAUCUUUGAUUCUGGGUAGGACUGUCAUUUACAACAUACCUGAAAGGAAACCAGGCAGUAUCUAUAAGAAUACGGCCAAUGAUUAGGGACCUCACUCCUUCACACAGUGGUCUACCCUCUGUUCCCCAAUUCUCAUCACUUUAUAGUUCUUCCUCAUUUUGAAUAAAAAUCUACCCAUUCUUUUGCCUGGACCUGACUCCCAAGUGACACAAAGUCUCCUCUUUCUUCAUAUAUGAUUUUUGAGGACUUGUUUCCUUGCUUCAGGCUUUUGUUCUUCCAAACAAAAGAUUUGUCUUUGAUUUGUCCUUUGAUUUGUCUUCCUCUACCUGUGGUUCAGAUCCAUCAGUAUCGUCCUUCCCUACGAAAGUCAUUGUCCUUUCAAUCUAUUAUAAUUUCCCAGUCUCCCUUUUAAAAUGUGCGCCUCAAAAUUUAUGCAACCUUUGGUAAUCUUCAGAAAUUGCUGCUGCUGAGAAAUGUCCCCUGCUUUAUGUGACUAGGCCUCGCCUCUUCAGCUCACCGGGCUCUUUCAGUGACAUUGGGUCUGAGGACCUACCUUUGCCAAGGUCUCAUCAUCCAGGUGAUUCUUCUGAAUCACAUGUUGAAGUGCAAAAUAAAUUUUUUCCUGAAGCUUCUGGACCUUCCUUGGUUCUAUCAGCCAGGCUCGGUCUGACAAAGGGAAAGAAUGGGUAAGGAGCGGACAGAACGUAAGCUUUGUUGUAUUUCACCUACAUACAUAUAAGUGCUGAGUACCAGACCCAUUUCAAAUUAGUUCCAAAUUGCUUCUGAAGACAUGUCAUUAUUUUUCUAAAACAAAUAUUUUAUAAGCAAUUCUAUGAUGACAGUAAUGUAUAAUACAUUGACAUACAGAAUCAGGGUGGAGGUAAAGACACAAUGGUUCAGAGAAACUCCAUGUGUCUUAUUGUCUGUGACAAUUUACAUCUCUUACUCUUUCUCUGGACAUACGCUUAGAUUUUCUUUCAAAGUUUACGUUAAUGAUUUGUGAAGAAAUGAAUUAUAGAAGUGAAGAAAACCUAUUGUAAAGGAGUGUUUUUGGAAUUCAGAAUCUCCCUUCCCUUUUAUAAGCUAAGUUAUAAUUUAUAUAGCAUCAACAUGAAUCAAUUAAAAAAUUUAAUCCUGAAUCCUCUUUUUCUAUAUUGAAUUUAAUAGAUAGGAUAAUCCCUCCUUUCCUUUAGCCUUUCCCACUUUCCUUUCUUUUUUCUUUCCUCCCUCCCUCCCUCUCUUUUGUUCCCUGCUUCCGUCCUUCCUUUCUUCCUAGACGCUUUAUACCAUGGUGACAAAAUUCAGCCCAGUGUCAACGCCUAAGGUUGAAACUUCAAUGAAGAGACACCUAGAGUCUCCAAAUUCUGAACAAAUACGCAUGGAAAAGAACUUGGACAUGAUCCUUCUGAACACAGUUCAGGUCAGGAACCAGAGUGAAACCAGCUCCCUCAUCAUGGACUCAAAGGCUUAGAACUGAUCUUCACCUGAACUAUAAUCAAUGGGAGCAAUCAAAUGCAAUGAGAAAACGGUGAGGAAACUGAGGCUCUGAGGGGUCAAGUGUUUAAGGUCACACACAUACCUGGUGACAGAGCCUGUCCUAGAAUGUCUACCACCACAUCGGAGAUUCUUCCUUUACCAGUCUUUAGUAAGGACCUCAGACCUCCCUACCUGGAGAUAUCAGAACAGCAGAUGAGAACAAAGCAAUCUCUUCUUCAGUCAGCUGCAAGGAACACAAAUUCUUUGCAAAGUCAAAUGCUUCAUUCACUAGGUCAUCAGAACCUAUAAAAGAAGGCAAAUUAAAUGAAAAUACUUGAACAGAAUGGGACAAUAGUAAGAAAAGUCCCAUGAUCAAGAAGUUAUUCAAGGAUUUGCAUACUAGGCACACAGAAAAAAUAUCUCUAAGUUCCUGACCAUAACAAAUGAUUUAGUGGUAAUUAUAGAAUGAGAAAAUUGGGCAACAUCUUGACCAGGUAAUGAAAGUCAACAUUACCAAUGAGGGGCAGAUAGAAAUGGUUUGCACCCAUUGUAAUACCCAACUGGGAAUAUAUAACCCCAAUCUAAUCUUGUAAGUUUGAAAUUAGCUCCAACUAAAAAAUUUUAAAUUAGUGAUUUGGGGAUCCUUUAGCACAGACGUAGCAUUCAUAGAAAACCUAAAACAUGUAUAAUGGGCCAUGGGCUGUCAGUCUUAGUGGCACUUAUAGGAUGUCACUGGCAAUGUAGGAUGUCCAGGGGCCUCAAGCUAAGCGAAUGGAGAUCAAGUGACUUUCAAUUUGGUAAUUUCCUGGAAAUUCGAUUGAGAAGCAAACAUUCAUUUAUGUUUACCUUCUAAUGAAUGACUCGCAGGUCAGUUGCUUAGCCAUUGUGAAUUCUGGCAAAAUAAUGCUUCAUCCCUACACGGAUCCUUGGUAAAUGUUUAUUUUAUGAAGCUGGAAAUAUACCCAAGUUGCUUGCCAAGGUUUUCCCUCCUUUCUUGAAAAUCUAGCCUUGGAGAUGCCAUGGAUGUAUAUCAGCUGCGGGAGGGAAACACUGCCGGCCCCGAUGGAUUUGCCAUUGGCUACCAUAUCAACUGACAGCACAAAAGGUGAAAGGGCAGUGGCCUUCUUUGAUGUCCGUGGGCAGGAUAUGGAACAAAUGGCACUGUCAAUUGUUAAAACCUUUCCUGGCACCAGCCCAUCUUUGCUAACGUUCUUAUCCAUGCCGUGCACUGAUGACUGGAUGUGAAUGACACACUUGCAGAGACUGGCUCUGUCCUGCCCUCCCACAAGAAUGGUCUGGGGAUCAUUUUGGGCUGGUUGGCAGCCACGCUAUCUGUGCUCCCAGAACUUCAUGAAUUAACAGGGAGAAAGUCACUACCCUGGGUUCGAAACAAAUGAAAGAGCUCCUCUUUUAAGCAUCCUAACUAAUGAUUAUAAAUUUGCAUGAGACACGUAAGAGGUCACCCAUGGACCACCAGUGGUCUACAUAACAUUCUUUGUGAAGCAGUAAGCUAGAAGGUAAAAGAAAAGCUGAUCCUACAAAGAAUGCCUAGAAUGCAUCCCAGUUCUUUACAAUCAGUUUUUGUUGAUUUCUGAAUGAAGCAUGUUCGUGUCAACAGGGUCCACGUUUCUUUCCUUCCUUUUACAUUUGGAGGCACAACUGUAAAAUCAGAGGAGUUAGAUGAAACACUGGAGGCUCCCCUAGUCCAGCCCUUAUUGAAUAAUGAGAUACUAAGUCAUGUUAGAGAAUCAAGGCAUUUCUUUUAGUGGAGAAACUGGUGGUAGUUAAUAGAAUUGUGUCAUCAUCAAAGGUGAACUCACCUAAGGCCUUGAACAUUUGCAUUCCUCCAUAUUUUCCUUCAAACAGAACAGUGUUGUUUAAUGGGUUGAAGGCACGGCACAUUCUCACUAAAACCACUUCCAAGCAACCUAUGAGAAAAAAAUUUCAAAUGUGUAUAUAUAUAUAAAGAGGUUACUACUGCAUAUAGGUCAAGAGACUUUAAAAAACUUUAAAACACACACAUAGACACAUAGACACACACAUUCAGAAACACCUCAAGAUUCCUUCCCAAGUAAAAAAGAACUAUGUUAGAAAUAAAGCUCUCUUGAAGUCUAUGUGAGGGAUUAAAGAUAAAAUACACUUUAAAGGUGACUAAAAUGAAGGGCAAAAACAUUUUCUUCAGAAGCAUACAUUUUCCCCCCUGUUUUUGACUGAUAAUGAAGUUAGUUUCAACUCUUGAAUUCACCGGUGAUCAUAAGUGGCCCAGAAAGGAGAUUUGCAGCAGGCAAGUUCAGUCUGUUAACUUUUGUAGAAGUUUUGCUGUUGGGGAAACCUGUUCUCUGCUUCAGUUUUUAACACACUCCAUGUAUAUUUCUGCAUACGAUGACUUCAAUAGGGACACCUUCAGGAUGUUUCUUGAGGGUACCAUUUAUGUCCUGGUAUCUUUGAAAUGAGGGUUUCUUGGUCAAAUAAGUUUUGGCAAAAGGCUGAACAUUAUCCACUCCAGGGAGUUAUAAGCAACAUUCACAGGUCAAAGGCUGUUGAAGUCCCAACAUGAAGGAGUUUGUUCAACCCUGAUGGACCUAACAUUUCUGAGUUCUCUGUUAGCCCAGUGGUGCCAGGACCUUCGUCUGCAGCCAUAGGCAACUGUGGUUAUUGUAUUCACUGUUAUAUCUCCAUCACCUAGAAGAGUCCCUGGCACAUAGUGGGUGCUUAAUAAAUAUUUAUUAAAUGAAUUAGUUCACUACCUUUGUUUUGCCCUCUGAACAUUUACUGACAUCCUGAGCAAGUACUGCAAAGUUUCUCCACAUUUUGGAGAAAUGGGCUUUUGCCCCACAGUGUGUUGGAAGGUGACACCCAGGCUCAGAAGUCAGAAAUUUGCAUGAGAACAUCAUAUAGAUGGUUUGGCUACACCCAUGUUGUACCCAACUGUACCCCUGGUGCCUUUCUUAAUGCUGCCAUGUAUAUUUAUGUCUGUGUUUUAUUUCUUUGUUCUGCUGAUGUAUCUGCUUUCCCUCAUAUGUCACCUUAGCAUAGAGGCUUACGCAUAAGAAGGAAUCUGCAAAUAUUAAUUGAAAUAAUGCUUUUCUGAGAAAAACAAUAAUAGGUACCAUUUAUUCACUAUCUACAAUAUGGAAGGCACGUCCCUUGACCCCUUACAUUCUUCUACAUUCCAUGUCUCCUACCCUUAAACCCAGGUGGGCCUACAUGACUGCCUUGACUAACAGGUGCAGUGGAAGUAACCCUAUGGGACUUCUGAAGCUAAGUCAGAAAAAUGCUACACACUUCUGCCUUGCUCUCUUGAAAUGCUAACUUUCGAAACCUAGCCACCAUGCUGUGAGAACGUCCAAGCAGUCUGUGCAGGGUAGGAACUGAGGCCCCCCUGAGCCCAAAGCCUUGUCUGAACUCCGGGCUGUCAACCAGCACGAACUGCCAGCCGUGAACACGAGCCAGUGCGCAAGUGGGUCCUCCUGCCCGCAGUCAGGCUGCCUCAGGGAACACCACAAGCCGUCCCUCGCUAAGCCCCGCUCAACCUGUAGCUUUGGAAGCAAAAUAAAUGAUUAUCGUUGUGUGAACUAAGUUUUGGGAUUGUUUUUAUCCAGCAACUAAUACAGCAGGUUCAUGUUUGAGUCAAGAUUUGCACCAACCUUAAUCAUUUGGUAACGAAGCAGCAGCAACUUAGAAUAAUUCUUUUGUUUGGCUCAAGUUCAAAAGACAGCUUUUCUCCACACCUCUUUUUGUACAGUAGAGACUAACACAACACUGUAAAGCAACUAUACUCCAGUAAAAAUUAAUUAAAAAAAAAUAAGCCAGCUUUGCCAGAUACUGGCUACGUGGUAUUGAACACAGCCCUUCACUUCCCUGAAUCUUUGCUUCCUCUUCUAUACGAUGGAAAUAAUUACUGAGCACACGAGAUUAAAAGAGAUGUCACAGGUAAACAUAAACAUAUAUAUAUAUAUGUUAUUGCAUAUAUAUAAAUUAUGUUAUUAUUAUUUGCUAUAGCCCAGGACCAUGAAGGUUCACAUGAACACCAUAGUGGUUCUUAUUUUCUAUUUUCAAAGGGGGCCAAAAAAGACAAAUACAUUUUUUUUCCUGUUUGGAUAAUGGCAGCUGCAAAGUCAAUCAUGUGCAAAGUUUCCUGAGUUGCUUCCUAAGUGACAGUGUGUGUGUGUCAGAGAGUGUGAGGGAGAAGUGGGAGGAAGGAUUAGAGCAGAGUGAGUUUCUCCCGGUGUAUUCUGGCUGCAGGCUAUCCUCAUUAAAAUGACUGGAAAUGACCACAGAGGCAGAGCUCAGCUAGCCUGGAUUUUUUUCCCCCCCAACAGAAGGCAAGUAGUACAUUUUAGAGCCAGCUCAGCAAUUCAGCCACCUUGACACGCUAAUUACUAGCACUGCCUGUCAAGCUGGGUAUCUCAACCUCCACAAUUAAUAGCUCCACUUUCAAUAAGCAAAAUUGUAUUUGACUUCAAAGGGGAACUGAAUGACUAUCAGGGCAUUUUUAUUAUUGAGAGUUUCCUUUGGGAGUUGGCUGACAGCGUGGGUGGUAAAAAUGAGCUACACGUUGGAUGGAGGAUUUUCUAGAACUAACAGCAAGCUAAGGGUCAACCACCUCCGGGUCUAAAAUAGGCCCCCCAUGAAUUUUCUUGCUUACCUGACUUCAGAAGUAGGAUUUGAUCAUUUUGACAGAGUUCCAUGAAGCCUGUUAUUCGCUUUGCAAACUCUACCACAUAUUGGAUGGCGUGAGUGAUCUGGAUGGCACAUUGCUGCCACAGUGCUUCCCUGGACUUCAAGAGAGAAAACACAGAAUGUACAUGGAGCAAAGAACAACUUGGAGACUCAGUGAAAUACUCAAGGUUGCCCUAACUGGCGCUUACCUGUCACUUGGGGUCCAUGGUAGGAAUCUACCCACCUUUAGAAGAGAGGCAAUAUUUUCUAAGAUAUUGCUUUGACCUCUUUGAACCUUGAUACACCACAAUUAUCAAAGUAAUGAGGCUAAAAUAAUGGAAAUAUUGCAAUAGUACAAAAAGAUAGGCAUUUAUAGUUUCUUUAUUAUUUUGCCUCCUCCUCACCUAAACAAACUCAAGCUCUUUAGUCUAUUUUGUAAAGUCAAACUCUUACACUGAGGAAUAGCAAUUUCAUUCACAGGCUUCCAAAAAAUUAUUUCCACGUGUACCUGACAGACACUAAGUCUGUAAUAUUUUUAUGUU